rnacentral:rRNA from 1 species
UACGUAGGGUGCAAGCGUUGUCCGGAAUUAUUGGGCGUAAAGAGCUCGUAGGCGGUUUGUCGCGUCGUAUGUGAAAACCCGGGGCUCAACCCCGGGCCUGCAUUCGAUACGGGCAGACUAGAGUUCGGUAGGGGAGUCUGGAAUUCCUGGUGUAGCGGUGAAAUGCGCAGAUAUCAGGAGGAACACCGGUGGCGAAGGCGGGACUCUGGGCCGAUACUGACGCUGAGGAGCGAAAGCGUGGGGAGCAAACAGG